rnacentral:rRNA from 1 species
UACGUAGGGUGCAAGCGUUGUCCGGAAUUAUUGGGCGUAAAGAGCUCGUAGGCGGUUUGUUGCGUCGGCUGUGAAAUCCCGAGGCUCAACCUCGGGUCUGCAGUCGAUACGAGCAAACUAGAGUGUUGCAGGGGAGACUGGAAUUCCUGGUGUAGCGGUGAAAUGCGCAGAUAUCAGGAGGAACACCGGUGGCGAAGGCGGGUCUCUGGGGCAACAACUGACGCUGAGGAGCGAAAGCCGUGGGGAGCGAACAGG